rnacentral:rRNA from 1 species
CCUACGGGAGGCAGCAGUGGGGAAUUUUGGACAAUGGGGGCAACCCUGAUCCAGCCAUUCCGCGUGAGUGAAGAAGGCCUUCGGGUUGUAAAGCUCUUUCGCAAGGGAAGAAAACUUAUGAUCGAAUAAAUCAUGAGGUUGACGGUACCUUGAUAAGAAGCACCGGCUAACUACGUGCCAGCAGCCGCGGUAAUACGUAGGGUGCGAGCGUUAAUCGGAAUUACUGGGCGUAAAGCGUGCGCAGGCGGUUUUGUAAGUCGGAUGUGAAAUCCCCGGGCUCAACCUGGGAACUGCGUUCGAAACUGCAAGGCUAGAGUGUGUCAGAGGGGGGUAGAAUUCCACGUGUAGCAGUGAAAUGCGUAGAGAUGUGGAGGAAUACCAAUGGCGAAGGCAGCCCCCUGGGAUAACACUGACGCUCAUGCACGAAAGCGUGGGGAGCAAACAGGAUUAGAUACCCUGGUAGUCCACGCCCUAAACGAUGUCAACUAGUUGUUGGUAGAGUAAAAUCUAUGAGUAACGUAGCUAACGCGUGAAGUUGACCGCCUGGGGAGUACGGUCGCAAGNUUAAAACNCAAAGGAAUUGACGGNUGAGCGNGCGAGACGACGACGAGGGAGAGG